UACGGAGGGUGCGAGCGUUAAUCGGAAUUACUGGGCGUAAAGCGCGCGUAGGCGGCUGAUUAAGUCGGAUGUGAAAUCCCCGGGCUCAACCUGGGAACUGCAUUCGAUACUGAUCGGCUAGAGUAUGAGAGAGGGAGGUAGAAUUCCACGUGUAGCGGUGAAAUGCGUAGAUAUGUGGAGGAAUACCGGUGGCGAAGGCGGCCUCCUGCUUGAUACCGACGCUGAGGUGCGAAAGCGUGGGGAGCAAACA
rnacentral:rRNA from 1 species